UGAGGAAUAUUGGUCAAUGGGCGCGAGCCUGAACCAGCCAAGUCGCGUGAGGGAAGACUGCCCUAUGGGUUGUAAACCUCUUUUGUCGGGGAGCAAAGGCGUCACGCGUGGCGCUUUGAGAGUACCCGAAGAAAAAGCAUCGGCUAACUCCGUGCCAGCAGCCGCGGUAAUACGGAGGAUGCGAGCGUUAUCCGGAUUUAUUGGGUUUAAAGGGUGCGUAGGCGGAGCGUCAAGUCAGCGGUAAAAUCGUGGGGCUCAACCCCAUCCUGCCGUUGAAACUGGCGUCCUUGAGUGAGUGAGAGGUAUGCGGAAUGCGUGGUGUAGCGGUGAAAUGCAUAGAUAUCACGCAGAACCCCGAUUGCGAAGGCAGCAUACCGGUGCUCAACUGACGCUGAGGCACGAAAGCGUGGGGAUCAAACAGG
rnacentral:rRNA from 1 species